rnacentral:sRNA from 1 species
UGAGCGGAAUUCGUGAGACCUUUUUUUCAAUUUUAGCGGAAUUCGUCAGACCUGUCGUUUUCUCUCUUUUUUCAAGUAGUCAAGUACCAACUGGUAAUUUCCUAUGAACUUGCCAUCUUAUUAUACAAUAAUUAAAUUAUGCCCAUGGAAGUCUCACCUUUGAUAUCUACUGAAUGGAAUUGCGCUUUGAGAUCUGAAGUUAGACAUUUGUACGCUGGGAAAAUGUCAGGAACGUUCAAAAAAUAGCUAGAGAUAUUCAAGUGCUGCCUUUUUGAGCCCAAUUUUGCUAUUAUAUUUUAUGUGGAAAGUUCUGCAUUUCUUCAUGCUGAUGACAAUUCCUCAUUAAGAGAAAUUUCCAAGGGGGAAAGAAAAAAAGACAACACAAUAUGCUUGAUUGCAUAUUGAAAGUCAAAGUAGUACCAGUUACGUGUGUACGUAAGCAACGUCCCAUCAAACAGAUUGAUUCAUGGCAACUAAUGUUUCAUGUUUUUCUGUCAAGGAAAAAAAUAAUAAUUGAGCUUUCCAGGAAAAACUGAGAAGUUCCAAGAAGGCAGAAAUGUAGGCAGAUGUGAAAUGCAACUCUCUCAAUAAAUGGAUCACAAAUAAUACUUCUGCAAGGACAAUAGUUCUCCCACAGCAUCAAAUAGCAGAAGACCCUGCUCACCAGAGUGUCCCAUGUGGGUUCCAGACAUACCUGAGUGAAAAGGAAUUAAGAAGGGAUUUAGAGGGAUCCUGGGAGAGGACUGCUGUUGACUAUGUGGAAAUGGCCUGACGGAGCAGGUACGAGUCGUUGUGUAGCAGGGAAUACCUUUUGAGAAUUCCCAAACUGCCAAAGCGACUGUACUGUGUCACACUCAGGAGGCAGAGAUACCUUGGUAGCGCCUCACCUUCCCACCUGUUAACACCUACUAUAAGGCAAUAGAGAAAGACCAGCAGAAGUACCACUCAUGCUCCUGCAAACACAGGCUAGAAAAGGAUCCCAUUCAGGCAAAACCUCUUCUGCCUAUGGCUGCUGGCUCCUAUUCAUAACUAGCACCACCAUGUUUCCAGAAUUCCAAGCAGCUGUACCUUAACCUUCUGUGCUCAUCAUGGCAGACCCCAGUGCACCACAAGUGUCUCAAGUCAGACACAUUUGGUGACCACAUGUGAGCAAGGAUGAAAUUUACACCUGAGGCCCAGGGACAGAGCCAUUAAGAAAGAGGAUUAUGAAUCUUCCAUCCAGUUGUGCAUGCUGCAGAUUAAAUACACAGGAUUAAUGAUGCAGACCCUGUGUCUACGGAUUACAUCCAAAGCUGAGAAGAGGUCAAAAAAAAAAAGGUCUCACGAAUUCCGCU